GGAUCUUUCGGGAUUAGUGGCGGACGGGUGAGUAACGCGUAGGGAUCUAUCCAUGGGUGGGGGACAACUCCGGGAAACUGGAGCUAAUACCGCAUGAUACCUGAGGGUCAAAGGCGCAAGUCGCCUGUGGAGGAACCUGCGUUCGAUUAGCUAGUUGGUGGGGUAAAGGCCUACCAAGGCGAUGAUCGAUAGCUGGUUUGAGAGGAUGAUCAGCCACACUGGGACUGAGACACGGCCCAGACUCCUACGGGAGGCAGCAGUGGGGAAUAUUGGACAAUGGGCGAAAGCCUGAUCCAGCAAUGCCGCGUGUGUGAAGAAGGUCUUCGGAUUGUAAAGCACUUUCGACGGGGACGAUGAUGACGGUACCCGUAGAAGAAGCCCCGGCUAACUUCGUGCCAGCAGCCGCGGUAAUACGAAGGGGGCUAGCGUUGCUCGGAAUGACUGGGCGUAAAGGGCGCGUAGGCGGUUGAUGCAGUCAGAUGUGAAAUCCCCGGGCUUAACCUGGGAACUGCAUUUGAGACGCAUUGACUAGAGUUCGAGAGAGGGUUGUGGAAUUCCCAGUGUAGCG
rnacentral:rRNA from 1 species